rnacentral:lncRNA from 1 species
CCACAACUUAUAGGCCUUAAGCUGUAUUUUGCACAUCAUGACCAUACUUUACAUAUCUAUAAGACGGCCAAUCGGCUCUUGAGACUUCGACAUCAACUGUGAAUGUUGGAGUGCUUACACCGAACUCUUCAGCGAUGGCAAGUUUACCUGAAAUAUCCUCACCGAUAGACGUACAUUCCGAGCAGAGAACCAACCGAAACGAGAGAAACAGGAAGAGAGGGAAAAAAUUAUGUCUCCACGAUCAAGAGAGCGGUACUAAAAAGCAACUACUUUCGGCUUCUAGGGUACAGAUUGACGAUCGGGACGGCCUGCAAACAU